rnacentral:rRNA from 1 species
ACGGGAGGCAGCAGUGGGGGAUAUUGCACAAUGGGGGAAACCCUGAUGCAGCAACGCCGCGUGAGCGAUGAAGGUCUUCGGAUCGUAAAGCUCUGUCCUUAGGGACGAAGAAGUGACGGUACCUAAGGAGGAAGCCCCGGCUAACUACGUGCCAGCAGCCGCGGUAAUACGUAGGGGGCGAGCGUUAUCCGGAAUUAUUGGGCGUAAAGAGUACGUAGGUGGUUUUGUAAGCGUAAGGUGAAAGCCCGGGGCUUAACUCCGGCGAGCCUUAUGAACUGCAAGACUUGAGUGCAGGAGGGGAAAGUGGAAUUCCUAGUGUAGCGGUGAAAUGCGUAGAUAUUAAGAGGAACACCAGUGGCGAAGGCGACUUUCUGGACUGUAACUGACACUGAGGUACGAAAGCGUGGGGAGCAAACAGGAUUAGAUACCCUGGUA